rnacentral:tRNA from 1 species
GCCUGAUUCGCAUAAAAGUAAUGCAAUUGUUUUGUAAUCAAUAGACGGGAGUGCAAGUCUCCCAUUGGGCU